CCCUUAGAGUUUGAUCCUGGCUCAGGAUGAACGCUGGCGGCGUGCCUAACACAUGCAAGUCGAACGAAGCAAUUAAAAUGAAGUUUUCGGAUGGAUUUUUAAUUGACUGAGUGGCGGACGGGUGAGUAACGCGUGGAUAACCUGCCUCACACUGGGGGAUAACAGUUAGAAAUGACUGCUAAUACCGCAUAAGCGCACAGUACCGCAUGGUACGGUGUGAAAAACUCCGGUGGUGUGAGAUGGAUCCGCGUCUGAUUAGCCAGUUGGCGGGGUAACGGCCCACCAAAGCGACGAUCAGUAGCCGACCUGAGAGGGUGACCGGCCACAUUGGGACUGAGACACGGCCCAAACUCCUACGGGAGGCAGCAGUGGGGAAUAUUGCACAAUGGGCGAAAGCCUGAUGCAGCGACGCCGCGUGAGUGAAGAAGUAUUUCGGUAUGUAAAGCUCUAUCAGCAGGG
rnacentral:rRNA from 1 species